AAGAACCUGAAACCGUGUACGUACAAGCAGUGGGAGCCCCACCACUAAGCCAGUGGUGAACUCCACAUACGCAUCCUUUGCUGAGGAUACGGUUAACGGAGCGAAAGCGACGUUCAACCGCAAAAGAAGCAGAGGGGGCUUAGUGGUGGGGUGACUGCGUACCUUUUGUAUAAUGGGUCAGCGACUUAUAUUCUGUAGCAAGGUUAACCGAAUAGGGGAGCCGGAGGGAAACCGAGUCUUAACCGGGCGUUAAGUUGCAGGGUAUAGACCCGAAACCCGGUGAUCUAGCCAUGGGCAGGUUGAAGGUUGGGUAACACUAACUGGAGGACCGAACCGACUAAUGUUGAAAAAUUAGCGGAUGACCUGUGGCUGGGGGUGAAAGGCCAAUCAAACCGGGAGAUAGCUGGUUCUCCCCGAAAGCUAUUUAGGUAGCGCCUCGUGAAUUCAUCUCCGGGGGUAGAGCACUGUUUCGGCUAGGGGGCCAUCCCGGCUUACCAACCCGAUGCAAACUGCGAAUACCGGAGAAUGUUAUCACGGGAGACACACGGCGGGUGCUAACGUCCGUCGUGAAGAGGGAAACAACCCAGACCGCCAGCUAAGGUCCCAAAGUCAUGGUUAAGUGGGAAACGAUGUGGGAAGGCCCAGACAGCCAGGAUGUUGGCUUAGAAGCAGCCAUCAUUUAAAGAAAGCGUAAUAGCUCACUGGUCGAGUCGGCCUGCGCGGAAGAUGUAACGGGGCUAAACCAU
rnacentral:rRNA from 1 species